rfam:Schizopora paradoxa strain KTC8140 unplaced genomic scaffold SCHPAscaffold_00540, whole genome shotgun sequence.
GUUUCGAUGGUCUAGUUGGUUAUGAUUUCUGUCUAACACACAGAAGGUCCCAAGUUCGAACCUUGGUCGAAACA